rnacentral:rRNA from 1 species
CGGGGUGAGUAACGCGUGGGUAACCUGCCUCAUACAGGGGGAUAACGAUUGGAAACGAUUGCUAAUACCGCAUAAGCGCACAGUACCACAUGGUACAGUGUGAAAAACUCCGGUGGUAUGAGAUGGACCCGCGUCUGAUUAGCUAGUUGUGAGGUAACGGCCCACCAAGGCAACGAUCAGUAGCCGACCUGAGAGGGUGACCGGCCACAUUGGGACUGAGACACGGCCCAG